GGACAACUCUAGCCGCAGGGCACAGUAAAAAAAACUGGUGUUCAGCGAAGAGGACUGUCGUUGCCUUUGCCGAACAAGAACUUCAAGGUCCUUUUCUUUAGCCUACAAACUGUCGUUGUUUGUAAGGUGGUACAACCAGUUCUUGCUGCCAGAGGAUCUGAGUCUUCACACAGACAGUGGAGAAGGAAACGAAACUCAGCUGAUCUUUUGGGCACACUGGCUCCAUACUGUAAGAGCACAAGUUUCUUCCCGCUUGGUUUAAAUAAUUAAUUUACUGGAAGAAGAGACAAGACUGACAACUGUAACUCUUGUUCAUUUGCCGGCA